rnacentral:lncRNA from 1 species
AAAUAGAAUUUUUGAAAGGGCCAUCGACAAAACAAUUGAAUUUCCUAAUAUAGUCUUGUAGACCAAUAAUCUGUCCAAAUGGGGACCCCUCGCCUCCCCCUAAAAAUUUAUAAUGGAAUCCCCUCCUCUGCAACCUCUCCACUACCCUACAGAACCCUCCAUCGCGAACGACGGCGCCACCGCCUAUUCAGUGCCGGAAAUUCGUUCUGACCCAUCAAGCUUGCGUUUGAUCAACGGCACAAAAUCCGAAAGGAAAAAUAACAAGGAAAAGAAAACCCUAGUUACAGAACUCUCAUCACCACCAUCAUCAGUAUCAUCAUCAAAUAAUUGUUCUUGUUCAAGUUCGAAGAAAAAGGGUCUCAAGAUUUUGAAGAAUUCUAAAAAAAUUCGAGUUGGGUCGACCAUGGACAGGAGAAGUACGAGUUCCACUCCCCACAAAAGAUAAUGUAACCCUCGACCAUGCUCCAAUGUAGUCCUUAAUUUUGUUGAUAAGUGAAUCAUAAGAGCUGAUUUUAAGUUUUUCCGUCGCAAGUGAGAUACCGAAGUAACGGAAAGGCAUAAAUCCUUUCUGUAAGUUUGUUGAACAUCCUCCAACUCUUGUCUAUAGACACCCGCCGUGUCCAAGUUAUAGACUUGUUAACAUUCAUCUUUAAUCCGGACAUUUCUCCGAAGUUUGGAUAAACACUCCAUUAAAAUACAUUUUUGUUGUUACUAAAGGACACAAAUUGGGGAACCAAAAUAAAAUAGAUAAAGAAACCUGUCAGCAGAAACAGGUAAAAUUAGCAAUAAAGAGGCCACAUCUAAACUCAGAGACACAGACAGGAAUAAAAUUGGUGGGGGUGUGCCAGGUACGAAUGUCAUGCCAAGCAAAGGCUCUUUUCGACCAGACCCACACAUCCAAAUACUUCAAACUAAAAUUGGUGGGGUGUGCCAGGUCCAGGCAGUAGUGCAACACCAAGACGACACUCAAGAGCCCCAAUAGCAAGCUAUUGUGUUGGACUCUCCCCCUUAAAUAAUUAAUUUAAUAUCGUGUGAGCCAAUGGCCCACAUAUCAGAUAUUAAACUGAUAAGAACAGAUACUACACUUGAUCUUAGCCAAA